GUCGCGUUGGCUCAGUCGGGUAGAGGUUUGACUGUGGUGCAGAGGGUCAGGGGUUCGACUCCCCGCUGCGGGCA